GACAGAGGGUGCAAACGUUGUUCGGAAUUACUGGGCAUAAAGCGCACGUAGGUGGUCCGCUAAGUCGCGUGUGAAAUCCCUCGGCUCAACCGAGGAAUUGCGGGCGAUACUGGCGGGCUAGAGAUCGGAGGGGUGAGUGGAACUCCAGGUGGAGCGGUGAAAUGCGUAGAUAUCUGGAGGAACACCGGUGGCGAAAGCGACUCACUGGCCCGACACUGACACUGAGGUGCGAAAGCUAGG
rnacentral:rRNA from 1 species